GCGUGCCUUUUGUAGAAUGAACCGGCGAGUUACGAUUUGAUGCAAGGUUAAGCAGUAAAUGUGGAGCCGUAGCGAAAGCGAGUCUGAAUAGGGCGUUUAGUAUUUGGUCGUAGACCCGAAACCAGGUGAUCUACCCUUGGUCAGGUUGAAGUUCAGGUAACACUGAAUGGAGGACCGAACCGACUUACGUUGAAAAGUGAGCGGAUGAACUGAGGGUAGCGGAGAAAUUCCAAUCGAACCUGGAGAUAGCUGGUUCUCUCCGAAAUAGCUUUAGGGCUAGCCUCAAGUGAUGAUUAUUGGAGGUAGAGCACUGUUUGGACGAGGGGCCCCUCUCGGGUUACCGAAUUCAGACAAACUCCGAAUGCCAAUUAAUUUAACUUGGGAGUCAGAACAUGGGUGAUAAGGUCCGUGUUCGAAAGGGAAACAGCCCAGACCACCAGCUAAGGUCCCAAAAUAUAUGUUAAGUGGAAAAGGAUGUGGCGUUGCCCAGACAACUAGGAUGUUGGCUUAGAAGCAGCCAUCAUUUAAAGAGUGCGUAAUAGCUCACUAGUCGAGUGACACUGCGCCGA
rnacentral:rRNA from 1 species